UACAGAGGGUGCGAGCGUUAAUCGGAAUUACUGGGCGUAAAGCGCACGUAGGCGGAUCGUUAAGUCGGGGGUGAAAUCCUGGAGCUCAACUCCAGAACUGCCUUCGAUACUGGCGAUCUAGAGUCCGGAAGAGGUGAGUGGAACUCCUAGUGUAGAGGUGGAAUUCGUAGAUAUUAGGAAGAAUACCAGUGGCGAAGGCGGCUCACUGGUCCGGUACUGACGCUGAGGUGCGAAAGCGUGGGGAGCAAACAGG
rnacentral:rRNA from 1 species